AAACACUUUUUAUAAUUAUGUUAUUAUCUUGCUAAACUAACGAUCAAUACUUUGUUUGAGCACUUAGUCAUGUUUGAUCAUUGCCAUAACAAUAACUGGAUGUCUGUCAAGAAACCUCUGAGUUCUGCUCCAUAGCCCUUUCACUUGGCGUCUUUGCAGUUUCAUGUUCUAGUUCCAUGUUCUAAGCAUGAUGUCUGGUUGUUAUUUUGGCCUUUAGAAACCUUAAUCGAGACCUGCACAAAAUAUGGUAUCCGAGCUUUAGUUUAGCACCUUAUGCUCCAUAGCCCUUUCACUUGGCGUCUUUGCAGUUUCAUGUUCUAGUUCCAUGUUCUAAGCAUGAUGUCUGGUUGUUAUUUUGGCCUUUAGAAACCUUAAUCGAGACCUGCACAAAAUAUGGUAUCCG
rnacentral:lncRNA from 1 species